UACGGGGGGAGCAAGCGUUGUUCGGAUUUACUGGGCGUAAAGGGCGCGUAGGCGGCCACCGCAAGUCAGUUGUGAAAGCUCUGGGCUUAACCCAGAAAGGUCAGCUGAUACUGCGGGGCUAGAGUGCAGAAGGGGCAACUGGAAUUCUCGGUGUAGCGGUGAAAUGCGUAGAUAUCGAGAGGAACACCUGCGGCGAAGGCGGGUUGCUGGGCUGACACUGACGCUGACAGCGCGAAAGCUAGGGGAGCGGACGGG
rnacentral:rRNA from 1 species